rnacentral:pre_miRNA from 1 species
GCAGUUGAUUGUCCAAACGCAAUUCUUGUGAAAUUUAAAACACAACCCGAGAAUUGUAUCUGGACAUCUGUUGC